CCUACGGGUGGCAGCAGUGAGGAAUAUUGGUCAAUGGACGAGAGUCUGAACCAGCCAAGUAGCGUGAAGGAUGACUGCCCUAUGGGUUGUAAACUUCUUUUAUAUGGGAAUAAAAUGUUCCACGUGUGGGAUUUUGUAUGUACCAUAUGAAUAAGGAUCGGCUAACUACGUCCCAGCAGCCGCGGUAAUACGGAGGAUCCGAGCGUUAUCCGGAUUUAUUGGGUUUAAAGGGAGCGUAGGUGGAUUGUUAAGUCAGUUGUGAAAGUUUGCGGCUCAACCGUAAAAUUGCAGUUGAAACUGGCAGUCUUGAGUACAGUAGAGGUGGGCUGAAUGCGUGGUGUAGCGGUGAAAUGCUUAGAUAUCACGAAGAACUCCGAUUGCGAAGGCAGUUCACUGGACUGCAACUGACACUGAGGCUCGAAAGUGUGGGUAUCAAACAGGAUUAGAUACCCCAGUAGUC
rnacentral:rRNA from 1 species